rnacentral:rRNA from 1 species
AUUGAACGCUGGCGGCAGGCCUAACACAUGCCAGUCGAGCGGAUGAGUGGAGCUUGCUCCAUGAUUCAGCGGCGGACGGGUGAGUAAUGCCUAGGAAUCUGCCUGGUAGUGGGGGACAACGUUUCGAAAGGAACGCUAAUACCGCAUACGUCCUACGGGGGAAAGUGGGGGAUCUUCGGACCUCACGCUAUCAGAUGAGCCUAGGUCGGAUUAGCUAGUUGGUGAGGUAAAGGCUCACCAAGGCGACGAUCCGUAACUGGUCUGAGAGGAUGAUCAGUCACACUGGAACUGAGACACGGUCCAGACUCCUACGGGAGGCAGCAGUGGGGAAUAUUGGACAAUGGGCGAAAGCCUGAUCCAGCCAUGCCGCGUGUGUGAAGAAGGUCUUCGGAUUGUAAAGCACUUUAAGUUGGGAGGAAGGGCAGUAAGUUAAUACCUUGCUGUUUUGACGUUACCAACAGAAUAAGCACCGGCUAACUUCGUG